CCUACGGGCGGCUGCAGUGGGGAAUAUUGCACAAUGGGCGCAAGCCUGAUGCAGCCAUGCCGCGUGUGUGAAGAAGGCCUUCGGGUUGUAAAGCACUUUCAGCGGGGAGGAAGGCGGUGAGGUUAAUAACCUCAUCGAUUGACGUUACCCGCAGAAGAAGCACCGGCUAACUCCGUGCCAGCAGCCGCGGUAAUACGGAGGGUGCAAGCGUUAAUCGGAAUUACUGGGCGUAAAGCGCACGCAGGCGGUCUGUCAAGUCGGAUGUGAAAUCCCCGGGCUCAACCUGGGAACUGCAUUCGAAACUGGCAGGCUAGAGUCUUGUAGAGGGGGGCAGAAUUCCAGGUGUAGCGGUGAAAUGCGUAGAGAUCUGGAGGAAUACCAGUGGCGAAGGCGGCCCCCUGGACAAAGACUGACGCUCAGGUGCGAAAGCGUGGGGAGCAAACAGGAUUAGAUACCCGAGUAGUC
rnacentral:rRNA from 1 species